CAGUUUCCAUGGACCAGGAGUCGGGCUUUCUGUUCAGUUCUGACACUGAGAUGUCUGUGAGCCACCCCAUAUGUCUGCUCACCGAAAAGGAGUUUUAUGCAAUGUUACCAAACUGAGGUCCUGGCUGCUCACCGCUCAAAGGCCGAUAUUUGAAGAUUGGAGUUGUCAGGAAGGGAUCAAGCUCGUUCAAGAAAAGCAAGAGUAUCAGCUGUACUUUGGAGAAGAAUCACCAACCCUUCUGGAUAUGCAGAUUGAUUUCUGGGUCCUCUGGCACUUGGCCUUGCCAAGUGUGACAGUUAGUCAGCUGACUUCCUGUUGCCUGCAAGAUGUAGCACUCUCAGCUCCAGCACCAUGUCUGCCUGCAUGUCGCCAUGCUCCCCAUCAUGAUCAUAAUGGACUGAACCUCUGAAACUGUAAGCAAGCUACCAAUUAAAUGUUUUACUUCAUAAGAGUUGCUGUAGUCAUGGUGUCUCUUCACAGCAAUAAAACCCUUAAAAAAAAAUAGAAGUUGGUACCAGGGACUGGGGUAUUGGUGUGAUAGGCCUGACUGUGUGUUUGUUUGGAGGAAUUUGGACUUUGGUACUUUGAGUUAAGAAAGCAGUGGCAUGCUUUAAACAUUGCUUAAUGGGCCAUACUAGUAGGAGCAUGGAGGACAGUGGGGCUGAGUUGUUUGAACUGUGGGGGCUCCCUCAGGAGGUCUCAGAGGAGAAGAAUUUUAGCACGUUGCCUAGAGAUCAUUCUUGUGAUGUUUUGGUAAAGAAAGUAGCUGCCUUUUGCCAUUGUUCAAAGAGUCUGCCUGAAACUAAAGUGGAGAGUUUUGGAUAAAAUCUGUUGGCAGAAGAAAUCUCAAAACAGACUAGUACAGACUCUGUUGUGUGGUUAUUAGUGGUCACUCUAAUGAAGAUUUAUAAUGAAAAGGAGCAAGCUGAGCAGGGUAAACUACAAAAUGUAAAUUCUGAGGAGAAAAAAGAACACAGGAAGUAGAAUGGAGUUAAAUCCUAUGUUCAAGGAGAUAAACGGAUUAAGAAAUGGAAUAAAGGGAGUGGUGACCUCAGGGCAAGAUCCCACCAGCUAAGUUUCCAACUUGUGGAAAGGAACUAGAGAAAAGCUCAGAGCCAGGUGUGUUGGAGCACACCUUUAAUCCCAGCACUGGGAAGUCAGAGGCUGGCCAGUCUCUGAGUUUGAGCCCAGCCUGGUCUACAGAGCAAAUUCAAGGACAGCCAAGUGUAGGCAGGGAAGGAAACCAUGGGAAACAGAAAGCUGUUGAAGAUGUAAUUAAAGAAGGGGGCCAUGUUCCAGUCCCAGUAAGUACCAGAAAUUGUCAGCUUCAGCCAAGUGGUUCUGGGUUUAGAGUUAAGGACAGAAGAAAGGAAUUAUGGAAUAAAGCUGCUGAGGCCCGGCAUGUGUCAGGGGUGUCCCUGAAUGGAGGCCUAGUAGAGAGGCCACUGUGUGAAGCUAUGAAGUGGAAGCCUGGAUGGCCUUGGAGAACCCAAAUGUUAGAGAUGCCAGAGUCGUGGGAUACCUGCCGAGGAGAGGUGCUAAUAGAGAGUGGAACCAGACCAAGAGAAAGAAGUAUGUUGCAGUCAACAAAGCUGAACACAAUUGGAGGUCUGAUGAGCAUUUUGACAUCAGACAUGGAGCUGCUGAGUUUGGAGUUUGCCUAGCUGAUUUUCAGUCUUGCUUUUUGUUAUUCAUUAAGCAGUGCUGUUACUGUGCAAGAACAGCCACAAGGUACAAUAAAACCCACUAUAAGAGUUUACUAAGGGAGGGGAACAGAAGUGUAUAGGUCUAUAGAAUGACCGUGCAGGAAGAGAGGGGAGGAAUAGGUGGAACCCACUUUUAUAGGUCCCCCUCCAACCCUGGCACAUGUGCAUAUGGGCUUACAUAGCUACAUCAUGCAUGCACACAGAUUAUGUGAUCACACAGCGCACAGAUACUGAACUGGGGGAGUGGCUAGGAAUUCUAACACUUUUGUCCAGCAUUUCCUCACUAUGCUCCUUUCCCUGUAUUUUGGAAUGGUAAUGUAUAUCCUAUGCCAUUUAUGUUGGAAGUAUGUCAAUCUGCUUUUGGUGCUAUGGGAUGGUCUUUCUGUAUGCUGUGAAUAUGUGUUGCUCUCAUUGGUUGAUAAAUAAAGCUGCUUGGCCAAUAGCAAGGCAGAAUAAGUUUAGGUGAUAUAUUCAAACUGAAGGUGGGAGAUGAAGAAGAACAGAGUCAGAGCAGACGCUGAGAGCUGCCCGAGAAGCAAGAUAUGAAAGAACCGGUAAUCCAUGGACCAUGUGGAUAGAUAGAAAUGGGUUAAUUUAAAUGUAAGAGCUAGCUAG